CUGGGAAGAUUAGCAUGGCCCCUGCACAAGGAUGACANGUAAAUUCGUGAAGUGUUUCAUAUAUAU
rnacentral:snRNA from 1 species